ACCUGGGUGGCUCAGUCGGUUGAGCGUCCGACUUCAGCUCAGGUCAUGAUCUCGCGGUCCGUGGGUUCGAGCCCCACGUCGGGCU
rnacentral:tRNA from 1 species